UUGAACGCUGGCGGCAGGCCUAACACAUGCAAGUCGAACGGUAACAGGAAGCAGCUUGCUGCUUCGCUGACGAGUGGCGGACGGGUGAGUAAUGUCUGGGAAACUGCCUGAUGGAGGGGGAUAACUACUGGAAACGGUAGCUAAUACCGCAUAACGUCGCAAGACCAAAGAGGGGGACCUUCGGGCCUCUUGCCAUCGGAUGUGCCCAGAUGGGAUUAGCUAGUAGGUGGGGUAACGGCUCACCUAGGCGACGAUCCCUAGCUGGUCUGAGAGGAUGACCAGCCACACUGGAACUGAGACACGGUCCAGACUCCUACGGGAGGCAGCAGUGGGGAAUAUUGCACAAUGGGCGCAAGCCUGAUGCAGCCAUGCCGCGUGUAUGAAGAAGGCCUUCGGGUUGUAAAGUACUUUCAGCGGGGAGGAAGGGAGUAAAGUUAAUACCUUUGCUCAUUGACGUUACCCGCAGAAGAAGCACCGGCUAACUCCGUGCCAGCAGCCGCGGUAAUACGGAGGGUGCAAGCGUUAAUCGGAAUUACUGGGCGUAAAGCGCACGCAGGCGGUUUGUUAAGUCAGAUGUGAAAUCCCCGGGCUCAACCUGGGAACUGCAUCUGAUACUGGCAAGCUUGAGUCUCGUAGAGGGGGGUAGAAUUCCAGGUGUAGCGGUGAAAUGCGUAGAGAUCUGGAGGAAUACCGGUGGCGAAGGCGGCCCCCUGGACGAAGACUGACGCUCAGGUGUGAAAGCGUGGGGAGCAAACAGGGUUAGAUACCCUGGUAGUCCACGCCGUAAACGAUGUCGACUUGGAGGUUGUGCCCUUGAGGCGUGGCUUCCGGAGCUAACGCGUUAAGUCGACCGCCUGGGGAGUACGGCCGCAAGGUUAAAACUCAAAUGAAUUGACGGGGGCCCGCACAAGCGGUGGAGCAUGUGGUUUAAUUCGAUGCAACGCGAAGAACCUUACCUGGUCUUGACAUCCACGGAAGUUUUCAGAGAUGAGAAUGUGCCUUCGGGAACCGUGAGACAGGUGCUGCAUGGCUGUCGUCAGCUCGUGUUGUGAAAUGUUGGGUUAAGUCCCGCAACGAGCGCAACCCUUAUCCUUUGUUGCCAGCGGUCCGGCCGGGAACUCAAAGGAGACUGCCAGUGAUAAACUGGAGGAAGGUGGGGAUGACGUCAAGUCAUCAUGGCCCUUACGACCAGGGCUACACACGUGCUACAAUGGCGCAUACAAAGAGAAGCGACCUCGCGAGAGCAAGCGGACCUCAUAAAGUGCGUCGUAGUCCGGAUUGGAGUCUGCAACUCGACUCCAUGAAGUCGGAAUCGCUAGUAAUCGUGGAUCAGAAUGCCACGGUGAAUACGUUCCCGGGCCUUGUACACACCGCCCGUCACACCAUGGGAGUGGGUUGCAAAAGAAGUAGGUAGCUUAACCUUCGGGAGGGCGCUUACCACUUUGUGAUUCAUGACUGGGGUG
rnacentral:rRNA from 1 species